GGGGGUAUAGCUCAGCUGGGAGAGCGCCUGCCUUGCAAGCAGGAGGUCAGCGGUUCGAUCCCG
rnacentral:tRNA from 1 species